GGAGAGGUGGCAGAGUGGCCGAAUGCGCCGGAUUGCUAAUCCGGUAAUCGUGAAAACGAUUCGGGGGUUCGAAUCCCCCCCUUUCCG
rnacentral:tRNA from 1 species